UGCCAGCCGCCGCGGUAAUACGGAGGGUGCAAGCGUUAUCCGGAAUCAUUGGGUUUAAAGGGUCCGCAGGCGGACGUGUAAGUCAGUGGUGAAAUCCUGCAGCUUAACUGCAGAACUGCCAUUGAUACUGUACGUCUUGAAUUCGGUCGAAGUGGGCGGAAUGUGUAGUGUAGCGGUGAAAUGCAUAGAUAUUACACAGAACACCGAUAGCGAAGGCAGCUCACUAGGCCUGGAUUGACGCUCAGGGACGAAAGCGUGGGGACCCUUUAAACCCAAUAA
rnacentral:rRNA from 1 species